rnacentral:piRNA from 1 species
UAUCUCCGAAUGAGUUGUCUGUCGUCUUUGU